rnacentral:rRNA from 1 species
UGGAUAGGAGACAAGAAGGCAUCUUCUUGUUUUUAAAAGACCUAGCAAUAGGUAUGCUUAGGGAGGAGCUUGCGUCACAUUAGUUAGUUGGUGGGGUAAAGGCCUACCAAGACUAUGAUGUGUAGCCGGGCUGAGAGGUUGAACGGCCACAUUGGGACUGAGACACGGCCCAAACUCCUACGGGAGGCAGCAGUAGGGAAUUUUCGGCAAUGGAGGAAACUCUGACCGAGCAACGCCGCGUGAACGAUGAAGUAUUUCGGUACGUAAAGUUCUUUUAUUAGGGAAGAAUAAAUGAUGGAAAAAUCAUUCUGACGGUACCUAAUGAAUAAGCCCCGGCUAACUAUGUGCCAGCAGCCGCGGUAAUACAUAGGGGGCAAGCGUUAUCCGGAAUUAUUGGGCGUAAAGGGUGCGUAGGCGGUUAAAUAAGUUUAUGGUCUAAGUGCAAUGCUCAACAUUGUGAUGCUAUAAAAACUGUUUAGCUAGAGUAAGAUAGAGGCAAGUGGAAUUCCAUGUGUAGUGGUAAAAUGCGUAAAUAUAUGGAGGAACACCAGUAGCGAAGGCGGCUUGCUGGGUCUUUACUGACGCUGAGGCACGAAAGCGUGGGGAGCAAACAGGAUUAGAUACCCUGGUAGUCCACGCCGUAAACGAUGAGUACUAAACGUUGGGUAAAACCAGUGUUGAAGUUAACACAUUAAGUACUCCGCCUGAGUAGUACGUACGCAAGUAUGAAACUUAAAGGAAUUGACGGGACUCCGCACAAGCGGUGGAUCAUGUUGUUUAAUUCGAAGGUACCCGAAAAACCUCACCAGGUCUUGACAUGCUUCUGCAAAGCUGUAGAAACACAGUGGAGGUUAUCAGUUGCACAGGUGGUGCAUGGUUGUCGUCAGCUCGUGUCGUGAGAUGUUGGGUUAASGUCCCGCAACGAGCGCAACCCUUAUUGUUAGUUACCAGCACGUAAUGGUGGGGACUUUAGCAAGACUGCCAGUGAUAAAUUGGAGGAAGGUGGGGACGACGUCAAAUCAUCAUGCCCCUUAUGACCUGGGCUACAAACGUGAUACAAUGGCUGUUACAAAGGGUAGCUGAAGCGCAAGUUUUUGGCGAAUCUCAAAAAAACAGUCUCAGUUCGGAUUGAAGUCUGCAACUCGACUUCAUGAAGUUGGAAUCGCUAGUAAUCGCGAAUCAGCAUGUCGCGGUGAAUACGUUCUCGGGGUUUGUACACACCGCCCGUCAA